UACGUAGGUGGCGAGCGUUGUCCGGAAUCACUGGGCGUAAAGCGCGCGCAGGCGGCGAUCUACGUCUGGGGUGAAAGCCCGGAGCUCAACUCCGGGACUGCCUUGGAUACGGGAUCGCUUGAGGAUUGGAGAGGCAAGGGGAAUUCCACGUGUAGCGGUGAAAUGCGUAGAGAUGUGGAGGAACACCUGUGGCGAAGGCGCCUUGCUGGCCAAUUUCUGACGCUGAGGCGCGAAAGCGUGGGGAGCAAACAGG
rnacentral:rRNA from 1 species